CGCCCGAGUGCAAGUAGUCGAGAAUAGGCCGAUGAGAAUGGGUCCAGCCUAUCCUGGAUUACUUGAACCAGGUC
rnacentral:pre_miRNA from 15 species